GACGAACGCUGGCGGCGUGCUUGACACAUGCAAGUCGAGCGGAGCGGCGAACGGGUGAGUAACGCGUGAGUAACUGCCCCCCUCUCUGGGAUAACAGUUGGAAACGGCUGCUAAUACCGGAUAGUGGGGGAUGACUCGCGUCCUAUCAGCUUGUUGGUGGGGUAGUGGCCUACCAAGGCGACGACGGGUGGCCGGCCUGAGAGGGGGACCGGCCACAUUGUGCUGGGGAGCGGCCCAUACGCCUACGGGGGGCAGGGGUGGGGAAUUGUGCACACAGGGGGACGUGCUGGUGCAGCAACGCCGCGUGGGGAAUCACGGUCGUUGGGGAGUAAACCGCUUUCAGCCAUGAGGCGUUAGUGACAAAAGAGGCACCGGCUACCUACGGCCCAGCGGCGGGGGUAUUC
rnacentral:rRNA from 1 species